CGCGUCCCACUGAGGACAGUGUCCCUGGUGAAUCCUCUCUGGUCCAGUAGGGGAAGAGGCAGAGCCUGAGCUGCAGGAGGAGGGGGCGCGGGAGAAGGAAGGGCCCGCGGGGGCGUCAGGCCGGGGGCGGGUUUGCAGCCGCCCGCAGAGCUUUGGCGCCUUGCGUCGCCGCGCCAGGAGGUUUCCGGUCACACCACGUAUCUGGGCAUGUGGCUUCUUCCCGGGCCGGCUGUUCUCACAGCCGCCGCCCUUCCCUCCCUUGGCUGCUGCCCCGCGUGGGAGGCGAGGGACGUCGGGGUCGUGUCCCCGGCGCUAGUUGGCGGGGCGGAGAGGUGGGGUUUCUCGGUGACCCACAGCGGGACCUCCCGUGGGCGUGGUGCGGGUUUGUGGGCUGUGGAACUGGAGUACAAGGUCACCAUGAGGACCCCGGGAGAGGGGUCCCCCUCUCAAAGGGCAGAGGCCCCUUGAAGGGGGUCUGACCUCGGGGUUUGCGAGGGUCAGGGCGGAGGAGGCGUGAGCCUUGAAAGACGGGGGCGAUCUGGCCAGUGGAGAUGUGGGUGCUCCAGGCCGAGCGAAUGCGAUGAUGGGGGCACGGGCCUGCUGGGGUCGAGGGCUGGAGGAGUGCGAGGCGAGCCGGAAAGGUCCCGGCCCGUCCAGUGCCUGCGGAGUGACCCGCGGAGGUAGCCCUUCCCUUCUGGGCCUUCAAGUCCUCAUCUGUAGUAGUCAACCCAACGCUCCUGAACCUGGCUCCCACCUUCGUUUCCUUCUCCAGGUGGGCUCUGCUUUGAUGACAGGCUCAUUCUUGGAGGAAUACAGUGGAGACCUAUAGAAGAGAAUUAAGCAGGAGGAAUGGGUGCCAAUGGCAGAUGUAUCAAGACGGGGGGACUGUUGCCUCUUUCUUAAGAGAAUGAAGACACUCAUCAUAUCAGCAAAAUUCAAGUAUACAAGGAGACAAAGGCUUAGAAAGUGAAGUGACACAGAAGCAGAACCAGGACCCAAACCAAGGUCUUCUGAAUCCAAGUUCUGGGGUUUUCUGCUCUGCCAUUCACUGAACUGAAUACACAGCCAACUGUGUGUGCACCCAUGUCAGGAAAACAAAGACAAUACCUAUAUUUUCAGGUGGAAUACAUUUCAGGCCCACGCCACCGAGUGCUCUGAAGCACCCAACAACUACCAGCCAGGCUCUGGUCAAGGAGGACGAGCUCCCCCGUAGUUCAGCUGCUGAUAAAAUCUAGGGUCCCGGGGAGGAAUAUGACCUAGGGAUUCCAUGGUCCUGCCAGGUUGCCCUCUCAGUCAUCAACUAAAAGCCCAUCCAAGGCCCUGAAUAUGGCCUGGGUCCUCACCCCACAUGGCCAACUGUAGCCAUAAACCCAGGCCAGUGACAGGGCUUGGGAGUCCAAAGGAUUACUAUCUUAGUUUUAGACCCAUAAAUCACCUUGAAAUUGGAAACAGCCCUGGAAAUUCUGGAUUGGUUGAUAGAUGUUUUUCCCAAGAUGGCAACACACCCAGCCCUAGACAUUUACACUUGCCUCAGGCCUAUAUAACAGCUUUCUACUUAGAAACUUUAAAAUGUACACUAGCCACUAUUUGGGUAUUUUUUUUAAAUUGAAGUAUAGUUGAUUUACAAUGUUGUGUUAAUUACUGCUAUAAGGCAAAGUGACUCCGUUAUACACAUAUAUACAUUCUUUUCCAUAUUCUUUUCCAGUAUGGUUUACCAAAGGGUAUUGAAUAUAGUUCCCUGUGCUAUACAGUAGGACCUUGUUGUUUAUCCAUUCUAUAUUUACCAGUUUGCAUCUCACUAGCCACUAUUUGGAAUAGCAGGUCCCCAAGCUCAGGAAAUGUCAUUAAAGGCUAACACCCUUGAAUGGGAUAUUACCAGGGAAUGCAUUAGUUUGACCAGUCAGCAGAACUCAGU